rnacentral:lncRNA from 1 species
GCUGAGUUUUGGUGCCAUGGCACGCUACAGAUAGUUGAGUUUUGGUGCCAUUUGCACUUGUGCCAUGGCAUGCAGUUUGUUGAGUUUUGGUGCGAUGGCUUGCAGCAGAUUGCUGAGUUUUGGUGCCAUGGCAUGCAGCAGAUUGUUGAGUUUUGGUGCCAUGGCAUGCAGCAGUUUGUUGAGUUUUGGUGCCGUGGCAGGCAGAUUGAUGAUUGUGACUGUCAUGGUGAUACAUUUUGUCAGUCAUAUCUUUCAUUUUGUCAGCGAAAGAGUGG